rnacentral:rRNA from 1 species
AGAGUUUGAUCAUGGCUCAGGACGAACGCUGGCGGCGUGCUUAAUACAUGCAAGUCGAGCGGGGUUACUGCGACAGAUCCCUUCGGGGUGACGUUGCUUUAACCUAGCGGCGGACGGGUGAGUAACGCGUGGGUAACCUACCCUAAAGCUCGGGAUAACAGUGGGAAACCGCUGCUAAUACCGGAUGACUUUAACCUAUGGCAUCAUGGGUUAAAGAAAGAUUUAUCGCUUUAGGAUGGGCCCGCGUCCCAUUAGCUAGUUGGUGAGGUAACGGCUCACCAAGGCGACGAUGGGUAGCCGGCCUGAGAGGGUGUACGGCCACACUGGGACUGAGACACGGCCCAGACUCCUACGGGAGGCAGCAGUAGGGAAUAUUGCGCAAUGGACGGAAGUCUGACGCAGCGACGCCGCGUGAGCGAUGAAGGCCUUCGGGUCGUAAAGCUCUGUCCUUGGGGAAGAAGGUCUUCGGACUUGACGGUACCCAAGAAGAAAGCCCCGGCUAACUACGUGCCAGCAGCCGCGGUAAUACGUAGGGGGCGAGCGUUGUCCGGAAUUACUGGGCGUAAAGGGUGCGUAGGCGGCCCUUUAAGUCAGAUGUGAAAGGCCACGGCUUAACCGUGGGAUUGCAUUUGAAACUGGAGGGCUUGAGUGUCGGAGAGGGUAGUGGAAUUCCCAGUGUAGCGGUGAAAUGCGUAGAUAUUGGGAGGAACACCAGUGGCGAAGGCGACUACCUGGACGAUAACUGACGCUGAGGCACGAAAGCUAGGGGAGCAAACAGGAUUAGAUACCCUGGUAGUCCUAGCCGUAAACGAUGGGUACUAGGUGUAGGUGGUUUCGAUACCAUCUGUGCCGGAGUUAACGCAAUAAGUACCCCGCCUGGGGAGUACGUGCGCAAGCAUGAAACUCAAAGGAAUUGACGG